GCGCCGCUUCGGGUGUGAGGACGACGCGCUCCCCCGCAGCCUCGCACGCCGAGGCUGCUCGGGCGCGCUUCUCCCACCGCAAGCGGCCGCCGAGAGCCCCGAGAGCCCACAGCCUUGCGCCGGCAGCUGGGGCCUGGGACCGUGGUGUCUGCGCUGUGCACAUGGGGACGUCGAGGCAAACCGCCAGCGAGCGGCUGGGGAGGAAUGCAGGGGCGUACACCCAGUGAUUUCUAAUCUCUGAAACCAGUGAUUUCCAACUUGUUCGCCAAGAAACUCUCAGACGGAAAUCAUGCUACCGCUCGGUUUGAAUAUUUUUUCAAAUACAAUGAUCUGAGUUGAAUUGAGUUCUUGAAGACUUCUCAAAAACAGAGCAACCACUGUGAAAAUGUUAAUCAAGAGGUAAAACAACUUGAUGCUUUACAGAAGAGAAAGUAGAAAAGACAGCAGCAGAAGAAAAGAGACCACAUGAAGAUGAAACCUUUUAAGAUGAGUAAGCAGGAAAUUGUUAAGUUAUAGGAACCCAUUAUAACAGCAGCAGAACUCUGUGGAACUGAGUUAAUUAUACCACACUGCAAAUAUCUUUAACUUCAUUAAGUUUUGGUAGUAACUGGAAAAAGUUUGCAAGUGUUAGAAUCUCCAAAAAGUAAAGAAGACACCAAUGAUCUUGAAUCAAUGGAGACAACAGGUCAAGAUAAAAUGAAAUAAGCCAGCAGAAAAAAGGAUAAAAUACAGCAUUUUUUAGGAAGAAGUAAAUCUAUUUCAGUUUCCCUUAGAGUAAAAGGGAGUGACUCUAAGACAAGGAAGUCUCACUAUUAACUACUGACCUACUUAGGAAUCAGUUUUCACUAGGGGUAUUCUAAACGCUUUCUAUGUAAAUGCUGGAAUUACCUCCAGGGUCAGUUUAGGUUAUGUACACGUCAGUUUCACCUCUCAGUAAUACCUAGAGAAUACUCAUUUACAAAGUUAUGACCUUGGUGGAUGUGAUAUUAUAAAAUACGCAUUUAAUCUUCAACCUGACAUACAACUCCUAAAAGCCUUAAGAACUCUAAAGUGAUGUCUUUUUAUACACUAAUGAGAUGACUGCUGGCUGCUAGUCCCUAAAUAGCUUCACGAUUGGGGCUGGUUACCAGAUUAGAGGCUUGGGACUUUCAUUCUUACCCCCACCCUCUGGGGAGGGGAGAGGUGCUAAAAGUAAAGUUGAUCACCAAUGACCAACAGUUUAAUCAAUUCUGACUACAUAAUACAGACUUGAUAACACCCUCCCCCCC